rnacentral:rRNA from 1 species
CCUACGGGUGGCAGCAGUGGGGAAUAUUGGGCAAUGGGCGCAAGCCUGACCCAGCAACGCCGCGUGAAGGACGAAGGCUUUCGGGUUGUAAACUUCUUUUCUGAGGGACGACGACAGUGACGGUACCUCAGGAAUAAGCCACGGCUAACUACGUGCCAGCAGCCGCGGUAAUACGUAGUUGGCAAGCGUUAUCCGGAUUUAUUGUGUGUAAAGGGCGUGUAGGCGGGAAAGCAAGUCAGAUGUGAAAACUCAGGGCUCAACCCUGAGCCUGCAUUUGAAACUGUUUUUCUUGAGUGCUGGAGAGGCAAUCGGAAUUCCGUGUGUAGCGGUGAAAUGCGUAGAUAUACGGAGGAACACCAGUGGCGAAGGCGGAUUGAUGGACAGUAACUGACGCUGAGGCGCGAAAGCGUGGGGAGCAAACAGGAUUAGAGACCCUUGUAGUC